rnacentral:rRNA from 1 species
CCUACGGGAUGCAGCAGUGAGGAAUAUUGGUCAAUGGACGAGAGUCUGAACCAGCCAAGUAGCGUGAAGGAUGAAGGCCCUAGGGGUGGUAAACUUCGUUGAUAAAGGAAUAAAACGAGGAACGUGUGCGUUUUUGCAGGGACGGUAUGAAUAAGGAUAGGCUAACUCCGUGCCAGCAGCCGCGGUAAUACGGAGGAGCCGAGCGUUAUCCGGAUUGAUUGGGGUUAACGGGAGCGUAGAGGGGUUGUUAAGUCAGUUGUGAAAGUUUUCGGCUCAACCGUAAAAUUGAAAUUGAUACUGGCCGUCUUGAGUACAGUUGCGGUCGGCGGAAUUCGUGGUGUAGCGGUGCAAUGCUUAGAUAUCACGA